rnacentral:rRNA from 1 species
UAUACUGCAGUCGAGCGACAGAUGAGAAGCUUGCUUCUCUGAUGUUAGCGGCGGACGGGUGAGUAACACGUGGGUAACCUACCUAUAAGACUGGGAUAACUCCGGGAAACCGGGGCUAAUACCGGAUAAUAUUUUGAACCGCAUGGUUCAAUAGUGAAAGACGGUUUCGGCUGUCACUUAUAGAUGGACCCGCGCCGUAUUAGCUAGUUGGUAAGGUAACGGCUUACCAAGGCGACGAUACGUAGCCGACCUGAGAGGGUGAUCGGCCACACUGGAACUGAGACACGGUCCAGACUCCUACGGGAGGCAGCAGUAGGGAAUCUUCCGCAAUGGGCGAAAGCCUGACGGAGCAACGCCGCGUGAGUGAUGAAGGUCUUCGGAUCGUAAAACUCUGUUGUUAGGGAAGAACAAAUUUGUUAGUAACUGAACAAGUCUUGACGGUACCUAACCAGAAAGCCACGGCUAACUACGUGCCAGCAGCCGCGGUAAUACGUAGGUGGCAAGCGUUAUCCGGAAUUAUUGGGCGUAAAGCGCGCGUAGGCGGUUUCUUAAGUCUGAUGUGAAAGCCCACGGCUCAACCGUGGAGGGUCAUUGGAAACUGGGAAACUUGAGUGCAGAAGAGGAGAGUGGAAUUCCAUGUGUAGCGGUGAAAUGCGCAGAGAUAUGGAGGAACACCAGUGGCGAAGGCGGCUCUCUGGUCUGUAACUGACGCUGAUGUGCGAAAGCGUGGGGAUCAAACAGGAUUAGAUACCCUGGUAGUCCACGCCGUAAACGAUGAGUGCUAAGUGUUAGGGGGUUUCCGCCCCUUAGUGCUGCAGCUAACGCAUUAAGCACUCCGCCUGGGGAGUACGACCGCAAGGUUGAAACUCAAAGGAAUUGACGGGGACCCGCACAAGCGGUGGAGCAUGUGGUUUAAUUCGAAGCAACGCGAAGAACCUUACCAAAUCUUGACAUCCUUUGACCGCUCUAGAGAUAGAGUCUUCCCCUUCGGGGGACAAAGUGACAGGUGGUGCAUGGUUGUCGUCAGCUCGUGUCGUGAGAUGUUGGGUUAAGUCCCGCAACGAGCGCAACCCUUAAGCUUAGUUGCCAUCAUUAAGUUGGGCACUCUAGGUUGACUGCCGGUGACAAACCGGAGGAAGGUGGGGAUGACGUCAAAUCAUCAUGCCCCUUAUGAUUUGGGCUACACACGUGCUACAAUGGAUAAUACAAAGGGCAGCGAAUCCGCGAGGCCAAGCAAAUCCCAUAAAAUUAUUCUCAGUUCGGAUUGUAGUCUGCAACUCGACUACAUGAAGCUGGAAUCGCUAGUAAUCGUAGAUCAGCAUGCUACGGUGAAUACGUUCCCGGGUCUUGUACACACCGCCCGUCACACCACGAGAGUUUGUAACACCCGAAGCCGGUGGAGUAACCUUUUAGGAGCUAGCCGUCGAAGUAACCAAUU